GGUGAUCCCAGGGCUGGGAACUGCUGGGAUGGGCAGAACUGUUGGGAAUCUCAGUUAAAAACUCCCCCUGCUCCUUCCCAAGCAGCCCCCAACAGCUCCCACCUUCUUUAUUUUAAAUCAAAUACUGUUCUUGGGGGUCCAGGAUUCAUCCUUUGUGUAUCUGUUCCCAUCCACAGAUGUGGGGAAGGAGCUGCCUUGGAAAUAAACAUCUGGACACAGACACCCUUCUGUUCCAUCAGCCAGGAGUGCAGGCAAGUACCAGGCCAAGUUCUCCAACCAACACAUUGUCCCACGUCUCUGGAGAGGAGGAGGUGCCUGGUGACCAUCGGAGGAUUUAAUUUGCCAACAGAUGCUACAAAUACCAAAGCAACCUCCAUCUGCUGCUGUACAGAAUCUGAUCACAGGAAAAACCCAGGAGUCCAUAACUCUGGAGUGGUGAUGCUGGGGUGAAGCAGCUGAAUGAGGUUUGUGCAGUGUCCUCACUUUCUGGUAGAUUUUUCUCAAAACAUCUCUUUGACUCUUUCCUUAAAUCUGACCACUCCAGCCCCAUGGAAUGUGUACACAGAGGGGAAAACUGGAUGCACAGAGCUUCGAGGAGCAGAGCUGGUGAGUCAGAGAGGUUUGCAGAGCAAUGGAACUUAAUGGUUUCUGGGGGCUGAGGACAAACACCAUCCAUCUUUCUGUGUACUCUUGCAAGCACUCAGCAUUAAUAUCUGAGGGCCUUUUAGUGCCACUGAAGAAUUUAUUCUCACAACACCACUGGGAGAAGGGAUUUCAUGGCUUUAAUUUCAGCGUCAGUAAGAAUUUGAGAAACUGAGCCAUAGAGCUGUUGCUUUCCACUCAGCUCCUGUCUAUGGGUAUUGGCAAAAGAUUACCAGAUGAGAUAAAUGAACUAGAGAGUGUCCCAAGAAUUCUAUUCCCUUCCUAUGCAGCAGUGUUUCGAGAGCUUUGAAGACUUUGAGUGUGUGCAAUUGUUUCAGAUUUGGGCUAAGUCACCCCAGAUAGAACGUGCAACAGGCCAACAAACUGAAGGGUUGGGGUGUUUUGCAUUGAAUGGUCAAAAGCUGACAGUUUGCUGAAGGAGAAAAGAAUCUGAGGUUGUGAAAUGCAGGAGUUCAUUUCUCUGCCAAU